rnacentral:lncRNA from 1 species
GUAAAUGUUGGUAAUGAAUUAGUUCCAAUGGUUGGUUUAUUUAUGGCUAAACUUAGCAAUUGUAUAAUCAAGUUUGAUUGUUGUGAUUGAUGUGCCUUUUAGGCAUAUUGGUUAUAUGAUUAAAUACUAUGAUGAUCUAGCUUGAAUAUGCAUGUGUUUGGUAUAAUUUGGAUGCAUGAAAAUAGGUACAUUUGGCUUGUGUAAGUGACCAAGUUUUGGGUGAGGAAAAUGGCUUGAAAAUGGUUUAUUUUUCGUCCACACGGCCUAAGUCAUGGGCAUGUGGCUUGGCCGUGUGAACCAAGUUAGAGAGUUACACGGGCACGGGCACGGACACGGACACGGGUUGGGACACGGUCGUGUGUCCCUACUUCGAAUGCCGACACGACAUGAGACUUGGGCGCGUGUCUCGGCCGUGUGACCCCUAUAGUAUGAUUUUUUCUAUCUUUUUCCAUGAAGUUCUAAAUAUUUUUUAUUUAGUCCCGAAUCAUUUCUAAAGUGUUUUUAAGGCCUCGAGGGCUCGAAAAAGGGAUGUUAUGCAUGUGUUUGAAUGGAAUAUGAUGUGUUUUAUAAAUGAUUGUAAUUGAAUGUUUUAGUUAAAAGUUUUCAGUAAUUCUCCGUAACCCUAUUUCGGUGACGAAUAUGGGUUAGAGGUGUUACAAUUAAUUGUUUAUUUUCCUAAUUUGUUCUUUAUCAUGUUCUUUCGUUAAUUAAUUUAGUUAAUUUUAGUUUCAAUCAAUCAUUCCAAUUAUUCAGUUAAAUAAUAUAAAGACGAUAAUUACUAGUACUUUUAGUCCUCGUAGGAGCAAUAUAUUUGCUCACUAUAACUAAACUAUUAAUUGAUAAGUGCACUUUAUUUAGUUGACUUUUUAGUUGGUUUCGUGGACAUCAUGGAUUCACUGCUCUUUUUGAAAGUUCCUAUUAUGAUACCCCAGAAUCAUCAAUGGGAAGACACUCAUCUAUUUUGGCCUUAUAUUUCAACCACGACAACCAGAACACUGAACAGUCAGGGUUUGGUGGUAGGACCCCUACACGACACUUAGUUAAUGGUUUUGAUUUGAACUUUGGUCAGCCAAUUUUCAAUGCUGGAAAUAAUUACAGGGGAACGAUAUCAACUUCCAACAGUUGGUAAUCAACAGGUGAUUUUGAACAUUUUGAGAACUAUACAAGCAGGGAUGACUACUCUUUAUGACGUCCACCGGCAAAGGGACAUCCAACACGAUAGGUGUUGGUGGGGUCGAGAAUGAAAAGGGGACUGAAUCCGAUGCCGAUCUAAUCCGGGAGGCCAAUGCCGAUGGUUCAGAAAUUGCAUUAUAUUUUGAACUAGAGUCAGUUUCGACUAAACUAAAAGAUGGAGGUUUAAAUGGUAAAUGUCUUAGCGAUGAUGUCAAAGAAGAUCUACAGUUCACGACAUACUCACCUCCAGCCUACAUUCAUAAUAUAGACCUAUCGGUAGAGGAUGGUUUGGAGUUUGCAGAACUACCAAAUAAAAGGUUGUGCCACGCGAGUUAUUCGUUGGAUUCAGGUGACUUAGAAGUGGGGAAAGAGUUCUCAACUAAAGAUGUUUUUGUCAUCGCGAUGAAGUGAUACAACAUCAAGAAUAGGGUAAACUUUCACGUGGUUAAAUCUUGAUUUGUGAAGUUUGAGGCGAAGUGCACAAUGUGAGACAAUAGAUGUGCAUGGAAAAUCAUGGCAUCUAUUAAGAAGAAGAUAAAGUUGUGGACGAUAAAGAAAUAUACAGCUCUGCAUAUGUGUGUUGUCGCAGGUACUGCACUAAUACUAGUUUAGUGUAUGACACAGUUGAAUUGCUAAUCUUAACGUACUCGUGUUGUUACAAGUAUCUCACGGGAUUAUUUUAAAUUGGAUUCGAAGAUGAUCACAAAAAUAAUACUAUCUAUGGUCAAAGUGAGUCCCAGAAUUACGGUGUCAAUUCUAAUUGCACAUAUUCGUAGCCAGUUCGAUUACAUGCCUUCAUACCGCAAGGCCUGGAUCACAAAGCAGAAGGCAUUGGAAAGGAUGCAUAAUGGGUGAGACACGUCGUAUAAUGAGAUAUGCCACUGGUGUCGGGUCUUAAAGUCGUACGUACCAGGUUGUGUAAUCGGUUUGGAAACAGGGCAUGCAUACUAUAAUGAUCGAUUGCUCCAUGGAUGCCAAGUGUUCAAACGUUUGUUUUGGACUUUCAAACAAUGUCGAGAGGCAUUCUAGUACUGCAAGCCACUUGUACAGAACGACAAUACUUUUAUGUACCGGAGAUAUACCCAUCUAUUAUUGUUGGCUGUCGUACAAGAUGACAAUCAAAAAAUCCUGUCGAUUGCCUUUGCAAUCUCGCCUAGAAAGUCAGCAAACGAUUAAGAUUUCUUCCUAUCAAGGUUGAGGAGGCAUGUUUUCCCCUAACCCAAUAUUUGUGUCGUCUCUGAUCAAGGACCUAGAAUAUUUGUCACAAUUGAACAAUAAGGAAGCCUUUAGGACCGCACAUACCAUAAGUAUUAUCUAAGGUAUGCUUUGUUGAAUUACCACGGACAAUACGACUCUAUUGCACAACGAGUACAAGUAAUUAACAUGGGUAUGUAAUCGCCACUAUUAAUUAUUCUUUGAUAUUUAACGGUGAACAAAUGUUGGACAUUAUGGAUAAAAUAUUAUUCAUUUGUCUCAACAUGGUACGAACUCAUCCAAAAUCACUUCCUUAAAAUGUUGGGAAACUUAGGAACAACAAACCUGGAGGAAUGCAUCAAGUCUGUUUUAAAGGGAAUAUGUCAUUUGCUAGUACCCUCGGUUGUCAAAGAGAUAUACUUCCAUUUGGCUGAACUUUUUCCAAAGUGAGUGGCGAAUUAUGUUAGGCAGAUGUAGGGCACCCAUGUUUGGAGAAAUGAUGUACUAAAAGAAAUUAGGAAGGCAACAACACGAGUGAACUAUAUGUAUCCAGUGUUCACUCAUACAAAGACCUAUGGUUUCGGCAACAACACGAGUGACCUUGUAUAAAUUAUCAAUUUUAAUAAUGUAAUUCAACAAGUCUAUGAAGAGAGAAAUCCAUGCGUACGGAGAUAUAAUAUGCAGACUUCUUCAAACAGUCAACAAUAAAACAGGUAACAUCUAUCUUUUUCGGUGAUAAAAUUAAUUUUGAUACUGAAUCUAUCGUAAUUCUAUCCCACUUCCGCUCAGUUAUCAACACAUACUGUAAUAGUCCCGAAGACGCUAGAUGAUCGACUUUAACUUGCUGACAGAUCAGAUAUUUGAAUAUAAAAUCAGAAGUACCAUGUUUCAUACUUAUUCGUUAAUAUAAUUGUUUCAGAUCAUUGUACAUCUUGUUACUCCCAGUAAGAACAGACAAGUUACCACUGUGGGUUACAUGUAACAAUUGUUGUACAAUCUCUGAACUUCUCCGUAUACAAAUUCUAUCUCAAAACAAUAAACAAUCAUCGGUUCCACAUCUAAAAUUCUGAAUCUAAAGUCAAUUUACGUUGAACUCCUUUUUAACUUGCAAUUCACUGACACAUUUCUUAGCUUCACAAAUUCGUCGAAUAAACUUCAAUUUAAUUUCUAACUCAGUUAAUAACUAUUCAUAAUCCGAUAAGAUUAAUCACACGUUUAUCGGUCGUAACACACAAAGAUUUCUGACUCAGAACAUCCGUGACUGAAAUCGUUUUCCUUGGAUGAAAAUCAAUCACUAACUCAAAACCUUUCAAUGGUUCGAACCAUCUUUGUUGUCCCAAAUUCAGAUUUCUCAAAAACAUCAAAUAUUUUAACCUUUUGCAAUCAUCAAAAGGUUACAUUACUCACCAAACAAUUAAAGUCGCUAACUAUUCAGCACAACUACAAUAUCAACCAUCUCUAAUUCUCGUGUCAAAUAACUCUUUUCAUGAAAUUUUAACUGUAAGCAAGCAUAAGUUAUCACCAUACCUUCUUGUACUAGAACCCAUUUCAAGCCAUUAAAUGACGCAUGACUGAAAAUUAUAAACUCUUUACCCAACACAGGCUAAACCAAAACUAAUGCUUCAGUUAACAAUGUCUUCAAUUAUUUACCACUUUAUGAAUAAGUAUCAUAUCAUGCAGACUUCACAAGCGCGAUGAUUUCCCCAAUUAAAACAACUGUAAUUACAAGAACAUUUCUCAAUAAAACUGUUCUGAUAAAUAUAAUUCGGUAUCACGUCUUCUAGGAUAUGAAUUCUUAAUUCAGACUAUUCAUCAAUUAACCAGUGAACGUACAAAAUUAGUUUACGGAUCUAAGGAUAAACUCAAACACAUAUAGAAUGAUAAAGAUCUCGAUGAUAUUCCCAAAAAUUUCCAGAAGGUAAAACGUACAGUAACCAGAACAAUAACCAGUAUGAACAGAAUACUAUCAUCACAUAAAUUCUAUCUUCAACUUUUUUUAACAAAAAGAAAUAAAAUACCAAUGAAAGAUAGAUCAAUGCCGAACAUAACCCAAACAGACCAACAAUGCUUUCAUCUGACAAUAUGUUUAGCUAACGUUCUCAUACGAUAAGAAUUUCAUUUGAAAAUAUUCAGCUACAAUUACCUCUGAGAGUAAAUGAAUACAUUCCAUACUCAGAAGAGAUCAUCGUAAAUUACUCAACUCUAACCACUACACUCAGCCAUCAAUACAAUUCGACAUUAUUCUAUUGUCUAAUUCUAUCAUCAUUAAGUCCACAAUUUCCCAUCGCUAACAGAAAUCAAUUCAGAAGAAUUUCAGUUAAUACCUCCUUUAAAUAUUAUACCUGAAUAGAUUAUUUAAUCACAGUCAACUUCUUCUUUAACGAUGACUUUGUAUAAUCCCGAAUAGUCUUCAGAACGAUCCUAUAUCUCUUUUAUUACUGUUUUCAAUUGCUGACUCAUUCUCUUAUCUGAUCACGGUAUUAAUCUUUUAAUUACGAAACUCUGAAAUUCUACACUUGUAAGCUUAUUCACUCUAUAUAUUAUGGAUUUCAUUGUAACACCAUAUUGAUAAGGGGGUGAGGGUAGUAAAGCCUCAAAUUUAACUCUCACAUAAACAUGCACAUAACACAUUCUAUUACGAAUAGCCAAUUCAUUACUAAUUCCAUAUUUUCAAAACAUCAAAUGAUCAUUUUCUUAUGAUCACUUUUAUGCUUAACACAUAGUUCAUAUGCUAAAUCAAAUCAUUAAUUCAUAAUCAAAAUAUUCACAUAGUAAUCAUAGACCAACAUCACAACUCAUAUACUAGUAUGAUUAUAACAUUUAUCAAUAGCAAGGUGUCAUGCACUCUAAUUCAUACCUUUAUAAUUUCAACUCAUCACCAACACAUUUUCACUCAAACGUUUGAGUAUAACAUUCUGUGUUAUCAAAAUUAGCUCGGUUGGAAAGCAUAUCUGUCUAAUUAAAACAAUUUUUGUCAGAGUCGAGAGAUAUCACACUAUCACAGGUUAAAUAUGGCAUGUAUAGCUAGACUCACAUAUGCUACGUUAGUCCUAGAAUUGACUAAAUCGUAGCUCUAAUACCAAUCAAAUGUAACACCCCUAACUUGUAUCUAUCUCUGAAUUAGGGUUACGAGGCAUUACCGACCAAAAUACAACUCAGAGUAGUCAUUCAUUUCUUAACAUCCAAUAAGUAAUAUUAACUAACAUACAUCAAAGUCAUAUUUUUCUUUCAUGUACCGAAUUAUCUAGAUACAACUAUAACAUUACUAAACUCGAAUGUCCACAAAUCAUUUAUACUAAAUUCGAACAUAUGAAUCAUAAAGCCAACCCAAAUCAAUCAUACUUUAAUAGUCAUGUAUCACAAAUAAAUCAUAUCUUAAAAUUCAACCAAUUUCAAUCCGAUUACCAAAUCAAAUUUUUCAUCAAGCUAACUCACUAAAAACCAAAUUGAACUAGUUCCAUAAUUACCAAAUUCAAACCAUAUGGUCAUCAAUUUAUAACAAUCAUACAUGUGUACCACUUAACCAACUAACCAAACAUAUUUUACUAUUAUAAAACAUCAUAUCAUAAUACAUAUACAUUAUAAUUCUAUUAGUCGAACAUUAUGACUAUAUAAUAAGGCAUUUAGAUACCUAAAUAAGUAUCAACCAUAUGUCAUUUUCAUAUACUUAGCUUACAACAAUACAUCCAUUCUAUAAGCUUUCCCACGUGUGCAUAUUUAAGCCACAACUAGCCAUAUCAAUUCAAAAUAUUAACUAAUAUCAAAUAUAUUAGUUAUGAGCUUUGUACAUGCACAUACUAGCUUAAGUUGAACUAUAUUAUGCUGCAAAAUGGGCAAAAUUAUACAAAUGUCUACAAGCAUUACCCAAAUGAUCGAAUCUCAAUUGUAAGUAUAACCAAUCCAUACACUACUUACUCAACUAACUUUAGUAAUUUUCUAAUUGUAAGUAUAACCAAUCCAUACACUACUUACUCAACUAACUUCAGUAAUUUUCUAAGUAAAAUAACCGAAUUUAAACAUGCCAAUUUCAUAUACUAUGUACCAUGCCAAAAUUUCAUAUACACAACCGAAUCAUUUAAUCCUCUAUUCGGUCAUCAAAUUAGCCUCCAAAAAUUCAUACCAUUUCCAUCAUGAACCGUACCUAAAAACUCACUCAAACAAGCAUACCAUAUAUGCAUACUUAAUCAUUCCAACCCAAAUCACAAGACCAAUCACAAAUACAAAUUAAAUCAUGUAUCAAGCUUACUAAAUGAGCUAUUUAUAAGUCAUUCAUAUCAUUACUCAACCAAGACAUAUAACCAAAACACCAUUCAUACAUGUCAUAGGACAUACUUACCAAAAUGUGCUUAUACCAUGAUCAAUUUUACACAACCAUUAGCAUUAUAAUCACGCCAAUUUUUGCAUGGCUAAAUAUAUAUAUCAUCAAAACCAAACAUAUUAAAAACUAGCCUAUACAAAAUAACCAAAUACAUACUUAAAACAUGCCAAACCAUAUGGCCAAAUACACUUUCCAUAGUAAACCAAAAUAACCAUAGCCUAUACAUGCCAUAUAACCAAGUCACAAAGUAUAUAAAUACCGAAAUUAUUAGCUGGAUAGUGUGAUGCAAUCUCCGUCGACUUCCAACCUGAGCAAACGUCUCAAACACUGUAAAACAUAAAAAAAAUAAUACCAAGUAAGCUAUAAAGCUUAGUAAGCUCAUAAUAUAAUAACUCAUAUUACUAAAUAACCACAUUACAAACAAUUGCAUCAAGUCAUAAUAUAGCUCAUUUGAUUUCACAAUUCUACAUCAUAUUCAUGCACAUGAUUAAACAAGAUUUCCAUGAGUUUAUUCAUUUCAAAGCUCGUAUGCCUUUUAAACUUCUUAUCACUUCAUUCUCAUUUACAAAUACAUAAGCAACAAUAUAUAGCUUUAUUUGAUCCAUUAUUCAUCACAUUUCUAUAGCCGAAAGAAUCAUGUAAAUUAUCGUUAAAUAAUUGUAAUUAUCACUCAAUGUGCCAUAUUCAUAUCAUUAACACAAUCAUUGCUCAUAUCACACAUAUCGUUCAAUUCAUACCUCAUUAUAGCCAAAUAAACACAUUUUGGCAUAAAAUAUAAUUAUAUACUAAUAAUUCUCUUUAAAUUACCUUCGUUUAACUCUCAUAUUGGUUCUAAACUUACCUGUGUUGCUUAAUUCAAUUGAACUUUCAUUAUUGUCUUAACUUCACGUGAUGAACCAUUCAGAAUCGUUAAAGAUACUCGGAAGUCUCGUAUAACACAUACAAUGUCAUAUCCCAGAUAUGAUCUUACAUGUUAUCACAUAUCGAUGCCAAUGUCCUAGACAUGGUCUUACACGUAAUCACAUAUAUGGAUGCUAUAUACCAGAUAUGGUCUUACACAAAGACUCAUAUAUCAAUGCCAUAGCCCAACUAUGGUUUUAUACGAAAUCAUGUAAUGCCAUGGUCUAACCAUGGUCUUUUCCGCCAAUUCGUCUUUCGUUACGAAACGAUUGUGUUCGAUCCUGCAUUUUUACUUAUUUCAAAAAUUUAAUUUAAGCUCCACAAUUAAAUAAAUUAUGUGAAUACAUUCAUACUAUCAUUCAUCAAUUACAUAAAUAUACACUGAAGUUCAAUUAUACAAACUUACCUCGAUUGCUAAAACAACGAAACGGAUCGACUGGUCCAAUACUUUAUCUUUUCUUCAAUCUAGAUCCGUAUUUCACUUUUCUCGAUCUAAAUAAAAUCAAAAUCAGUUUAUUUAAUUAUCUCUCUAUUCAAUUUAAUCCAAAAUUUACCUUAAAGCAUAUUUACACUUUUCCCCCAUAAUUUCACAUUUUUACAAUUUAGUCAUUAUCACAUAAAAUCACAAUUUCAUGAAAUUAAACACAAAUCCAAGCUAGCAAAAUUUUCCAUAUAUCACUAGAAGCCCAUAUUUUCAAUUUAUUUCACAUUUUAACCACUAAAUUUCCACAUUUCACAAUUUAAUCCCUAAUUGACAUUUUUAUCAAAAAUCACUUUAUAAAAGAUGAAAAUCUAACAUCAAAUAUUCAUAUUUCAUCAAAAACUAUCAAAGAGCUCAAGUAUUCAAUAAUGGAAAUUCAUAAAAUCUUUAACAGUUUUAGAAACGGAGGUAUGGGUUAGCUAGAUUACGAAGCAACGAUCUCAAAAAUGUAGAAAUUAUUAAAAACCGAGCAAAAACCACUCACCAAUUUGUCUUCAAAGUUUGGCCAAAUAAAAAGCUCUCCCAUGGCUGAUUUUAGGUUGAAAUUUCGGUGAAGAUGGAUAGUGGAAGAAGAUGACACAAUUUGUUAUAUUUAAUUUAACAUAUAAUGUUUUUUUACUUAUUUAACAUUUAAUAACCUUAAUAACUACACCAAAUGCCACUCCACUAACAUCCAAUAUCUCAAUAAUGGGUUAUUUAUCAUAUAAGGACCUUCAAUUUAAAAUUCUAUAGCUAUUAGACACCUUUAGCAUAUAGAACGCAACUUUCACACUUUAUGCGAUUUAGUCUUUUUUAUCAAAUUAAGCACCCAAUUGAUGAAUUUUCUUCACGAAAUUUUUACACAAUCAUAAUAUCAUACUGUAGAUAUUAAAAUAAUAAUAAAAUAAAAUUUUUUACUUUGAAUUUGUGGUCCCAAAACUACUAUUCCGACUAGACUCAUAAAUCAGGAUGUUACAAAAUCAAAUACUGUAAUAAAAUAAUUCAAUUUUUUUUAAAAAAAAAACUUACCUCCACUUUAGAUCGUUGGUCUAACAGAAGCCAUAUAUCUCACAGUUCAUUCAAUAGUCUAGCGUAACUUGGAUUAUGAGUCCACCUAUUGAAAUAAUUUGUUAACAGGAUAAUUUAAACUUUCAAUUAUUUUAUCACGGUAAAUAAAUUAUCUAAUGAAUUUUACCUUGUUAUAAGUGGGAACGUGUAAGGGUAGUUUGCUUCAAGACUUAAAAAUGGCAGUCGAUACCGCACACAUGACUGUAGUAGUAGCAGCAUGCAACCACCAAUUUAAUUUUUCGUGGUUGAGUCGCCCGACACAUCUCCGGUACAAGGUCGCCAACACGCUGGACCCCUAACUGAGUUCGCCCGCUUCUCUAAAGUUGACGAGUUUCAACAGCCACCUUAAAUGAACCAAAUUUUGUGACUUAUCUAUCAUUAGAAUACCCCCGAUUAUCAUAAAGGUGUAAGCCUGAACAUGUUAUUCUCUUUCAAUUUCAGUCGAAUCCUCAUCGAGCUCACCAAAAUUUCUUCUUAACCAAGGCAUUUCUAUUCAACCUCCAAAAAUUGUCUCAGAAACCAACCCUAAAAGUUCGUCGCAUAUUACUUUCCUAUAUGUGUAAACAGUCCAAUUGCUACGGGCUCAUCCACUGGUAAACCAAGUUGUAACUACACGUCCUCCAAAGUUAUAGUACAUGUCGAAACCAUUUUUUGAAAAACAAAAAAGGACAAUUGGAGUCACCACCAAUCUUUUAUUAAGGUGUGAUCGGUUCACCUUGAAAACGAUUUUAGGUCUACGAAUUUUGAGAAAAUAGGUUCGGGAGUCAGUUACGCACGAGGAAGGGUUAGCACCCUCGUAACGCCCAAAAUUGGUACUGAACUGAUUGUUUAAUGUCUUGGUGUCGAAAAUUUGAAAAGAUUUUAAAAUAAAACUUUUUAACUUGAAAAAUUAUAAAAUAUUCUUAUUUUAAAGAAAUACAACAUCACACCCAGUGUAACGUCCCUUACCCAUAUCCGACACUGGAAUAGGGUACGAGGCAUUACUAGAACACAUACACUUGUAAACGUAUUUAACCGAGUUAUAAAAUUUCAUCUAAAUUAAAAUUUUUAAAAUUAUUAACAUGCUUUUAUAAUUUUUCAUAAGAUAUCAUCAAAAUAUUAUGAUCAUAAUAAUUAGGGCCUACGAGACCCGAUACAUACUCAUGCAAUUUAAUGCUUCAUUUCCAUUUCAUUAAAUUCGCAAUUUCUCAUGCUCACAAUUUAAAUCAUAUCAUUAGCAAUUUUCAUUUAAUUCGCGUACAAUUUAAUGUCAUUAAGUUCAACACUAAUACGUAUUUACUAUUUAACUCAACUUUUAUCGAUUAUACCAUUCAUUAACACAUUUAUGAAAUUCUAAAUUUUGCAAUGUAUAUAUCAUUUUAGCUUAUAUAACAGCAUCAUCCUGGUAUAAAUACACUAUCACUUAUCCAUUUUCUUUAAUUCUUUUGGGUCCAUUUGUCACUUACCAUCCUUAAUCAAAUUAGGGAAUGAUUACGGAAAAUUGAGUACUUCACUUUCACUUUGCCAUAGUAUAACUAUGGUCUUACGUAUGAUCACUUAUCACUUGUCCCUGAUCAGAUAAGUGUAGUUAGGCUACCACUUAUCACUUUGUCACUUGAUCAGAUAAGUGUAGCUAAAGCUACCACUUAUCACUUUGUCACCACUUAUCACUUGUUCCUGAUCAGAUAAGUGUAGCUAAAGCUACCACUUAUCACUUUGUCACUUGAUCAGAUAAGUGUAGCUAAGGCUACCACUUAUCACUUUGUCACUUGAUCAAAUAAGUGUAGCUAAAGCUACCACUUAUCACUUUGUCACUUGUCACUGAUCAGACGUACUCAAAUCCGGCAUUCCACUCAAUUUGAUCAUUUAUUCAAUUUUCGCAUUUUUAUUUUAUUCUCAUUUCAACACUAAAUGUGUUAGCCAAAUACACAUAUAGCAUAAGCAUUAUAAGCAUGGAUGAGCACAACAUUUAUUCAUGUAUCACGCUUACCAACAUGUGUUAAUUCAUAAACCAUUCAUGAUAUUUUUUUAUGCCAAAUCAUAUAUCGAAUAUACCAUACACGCAUACUAUGAAACUUUAUUUUCAUACAUGAGCUUAGACCAUGACUAAUAAUGCACAAAUAUAAGCAUCAUUUCUAUUUCAUCGUUUAUCAAUUAUAAUCAAGAAUAUAACCAAUUAUACACAAUUCAUUCAUAUACUUUAUUGUCCUCCUCCUCCUCUCCGUCCCACAUCCCUGAUGCAUAUAACACACUUAAAUAGCAUUAUACAUAAUUUCACUAUUCACUUAUAUUUAAAUUCAAAGCUGUCUAGUCGAGUUAUAGUCACUAAAUUAUUUUUAUCUGGAGCUACAGAGCUCCAAAAUAAGAUCUGUAAAUUUUCCCUGAAACUAGACUCAAAUAUCUUAUUACCAUAAAAUUUUUAGAAUUUUUGGUUCAGCCAAAUAGUACAGUUUAUUCUUUAAAGUUUCCCCUAUUUUGCUAUCUGAUAGUUCCGACCACUCUUCACUAAAAAUAAAUUAUCUAAUUGUACAGAAUUUAGAUGAUGUUUUCGUUUAUUUCCUAUGAAAAUAGACUCAUUAGGGAUUCUAAGAAUAUAAAUUAUAACCCAUAAUUAUUUUUCUUAAAUUUUUUAUGAUUUUACAAAGUCAGAACAGGGGAACCCAAAUUCAUUCUAACCUUGUCUCACAAAAUUUAUUAUAUCUCAUGAUUUAAAAUUCUAUUGCUUACACCGUUUCUUCUAUGAGAAACUAUACUCGAUAAGAUUUAAUUUCAUGUUUUAUUCAUCCUCUAAUUCGAUUUCCACAAUUUAUGGUGAUUUUUCAAAGUUAACCUACUGCUGCUAUCCAAAACUAUUAUAGUGCAAAACAUUGAUUACUAAGUCUAUAACACUCUUACUUUCCUUCUCUACACUAUUUCUCAACACUUGCUCUUAUUUUCUCUUCACUAACAUAUCAAGAACAUAUAACCUUAUAUAAUAAAACCCUAAUUUAACAUCAAUCUCAUACUUUUUCAAUAAUAUCAAACUCAAAAAUAUAUUGAAAUCAUGAUGUUCUUACCUUGCUCAAUUGACUUCAAUUUUUAACUUGAUUUUCUCUCUCCUCCAACCUCUAUUUCUUGAAUCUAACUUGAUAUUCUAGCUUCCCAUAGUAUCCUUGUCAAUUUUCUCUCUUGGUGGCUAUGGAAAUUUCUUUGAUUUCUAAGUGAAAAUGGUGGAUUUUUGGUGAAAGGACCAAAUUGUAAAGAAAGUAAAAUUUUCUUCCUUUCCCUCUUCUUCUCACGUUAAUGCAUGCAAAAAUGGUGGGGAUGAUUGUUUUUCAUCCUUCUUUCCACAUAUAUAUAUACUAAAUAAAUUAAUAAUAAUAAAAUAAUAUCAUUUAAAAAAAUUAAAUUAAAAUAUUAAUAAACUAAUAUUUAUUUAUUAAUCUAAAAUAUCUCCAACAUCAUCAUUAUCUUCUAGAUUUCUCUUUCUUCUAAUUGACCAUUUUGCCCUUUAUGAUCUUUUAAAAUUUCAUUCUUGAGUCAUCACUUAAUUUGAUAAAAUUGUGAUUUAGUCCCUCAAACUUCUUCACCUUUUUCAAUUUGGUACUAAUCCAUCCAUUUUUCUUAGUUUCUAGAUCAUUCCACCCUUAAAAUAUUUACACCAUUGGUCCUUCAACUUUUUCAUAUUUACACUUUAACCCCUCAACUUUUGAGUAUUUACUCUUGGGUAACAAAACUUUUCUCACUUUUGCGAUUUAAUCCUUUCUUAAAUUAAUAUGUUAUAAUAUACUUCCCAAUAUUGCCAUAACUCAAAAUUACCCCUUUUUAGCACUUUAUUUCCUUAUUUUACUAUAUCAGAGAUAUUAUAUUACUUUCCUUACUGUAAAAAUUUUCGGAGUAUUACACCCAGUUAGUUAGGGCACAACAUUUUUAAUCUUCAAAAUUAAGUUUGUCUUUUGAUUUUUAAAACUCAUGCAUUUAAAUCUCAAAAGGAUAUUCGAUUAUUUGGGUUAAAAGAGAAAAAUCGAAACCCAGUAAGUUAGGGCACGAUCACUCGAAUUUCCCAAAUACAGAAUAUUGCCUUUCUUAUUUUUAGAAAAAUCCUCAUCUCGAGAAAACAAUGUUUCAUAUCCAAUGCGUUAGGACACAGCUUAUUGACUUCCCGAUAAUGAGCUUUUAUGUUUUUUUUUACUAAAGAGCAUUCCCGAUUAUUUAGAUUCAAUGAAGAAAAUUGGAACCCAAGACAUUAGGGCUCAAUCUUCUCGAAGAUCCCAAAUAUCGGAUAUUUCCUUAUUUUGAAAACCUUUGAACAAAACAUAGUUUUAAUGCUUUGAUGAAACCAAAUAUAUCUUCUUGUUAAAAAAAUGAUAAAAUGUUAAUAUACAACAUAAAACAAAUACUUUAAUAUGAAUUAUAUAUGUAUAUGUAUUUACAAAAUAUGUAUAUAUAUAAGUAUAAUAUAUAAGUAAAUUUGAAAAUAUGUGUAUCCAUAUAUUAAAAACACACAUAUAUAAGUAUACAUAUAAAAAAGAAAAGGAAUGAAAUAUAUAAAACAAAAAAACUUAUAAUAAUUUCUAAAAAAUAUGUAUAUAUAUGUAUGUGAAAAUUAUGAAAAUAAGAUAAAAAAAUAUAAAAGUAUGUAUAUGUGUAUAUAUUUACAAAAUAAAAAAAUGUAUAUAUGAGUAAACUAUAAAAAUGUAUAUGCAUGUAUUAGGAGGCGUAUAUAUAUAAGUAUAAGUAUAUAAAAUGAUGAAAUAUGCAAAUAUAUAUAUUUAUAAAAAAAUGUACGUGUAUGUAUAUUAUAGGAAAUGUAUGUAUAUGCGUAUGGACUACAAAGUAUGUAAAAUGUGUACGUAUUAUAAAAUGUAAAUGCAUAUAUAUAUAUAUGUUUAUGAAAAUUAAAGAAAUAUGCAUUUAGAGAUAUAUAUAUAAAUACGUAUAUAAAUUGUGUAAUAUAAAAAAAAGAAUAUUAAAAAAAAUUUUAAAAAAAUGCAUGUAUAAAUAUGGUUAUAAUGAUAACAGUAACACCAAAAUAAUGAUAUUAUAAUGAUAAGAAUAAUAACACAAAUAAUUAAUUUGAUAAUAAAUAACUAAAAACAAAUGGGGACUAAAUCAGAAUAAUAAGAAAUUUCUUGGUAUGUAUUUGAAAUAUAAAAGUGGGGACCAAAUCGUAAUGCGUUGAAAACAUCAGGGAGUAAACAAAUAAAUAUGCCAGACCCCUCAGUAUGCAGCGUUUUCGUAUGGGAUUUAAUUGAAAUAAAAAAAAUAAAAACGUGGUUUAAAUUGUAAAUAUAUGGAAAAAAAACUAUAUUGAAAGCGAUUCAAAAACAGGAGGACCGAUUCUGAAAAUAUUCCCCACCAGCAAAACACGCAGAUCCUAAGGCGGGUCGGGUCACGCAUACGGGUAUGGUCUUAUACAGCGCCGUUUUGGGGCCACUGAAACAUGCCCUAAACGACGCCGUUUUAUAGUUGUUAUAAAACCAAAAUUUUCUAAAAAAAACUCAUUUUUUCCUUCUUUGACACAAAAUAAUAGAGAAACCCUCUGCUAGGGUUUCAUUUUUUCAUGCCGCCGCCGCCAAUAAGGCCGUCCCUUGGCUUCCGUCGACGCCCCGGCCUCCGAUUGCGACGGAGAGGGGAAAAGCCCCGACGACACCAGGUAAGCGUCUCUUUAACCGUUUCUUUUUUUAUACGAUUUAAAAUAAAAUAAAAAAAAUACAAAAAAACAGAAGAAAAAGAAGAAAACAAGAACCUUCUUUCCAAUUUUUUAUUUCUUUUCGUAUAGAUUUUUCUUCUCUUUUUCGAUAUCCCUAAAAAACUAGCAGAUCCCAUUUCAGUAUACAGAUUCGACUUUUUAUAGCCGAAAAAUAAAAAAAAUUCAAAGAAAUUGUAAUACCCAAUUUUAGCCCGGGCUCACAAAAAAAAAAACCCAAAGUAAUAUCAUUUGGCCCAAUCGGAAUUGCCCAUUACUUGAAAAGGUUGAAGGUCCAUUUACAAGCUUAUGGAAACAUAAUCUUCAGGGAUAUGCAAUCUUAGAUAUGAUAUGCAAUCUUAGAUAUGAUAUAUAAUCUUAGAUAUGAUAUGCAAUCUUAGAAGAUAUGAUUGUGUAAUCUUAGAGAUUUAAUUUGUAGAUACCCUUUAAUCUCAGUCGUUGAUGUAAUUGAUCUGUACCGUUGGAUUUGGGGAGGCUCAACUAUAAAUAGUGACCUCUCCCUUCAUUGUAAAAAAGAAAAAAAAGGAGGAAUAAAAAAAGAGAACGAUUGGUAAUUUUUUAAAGGUGGCUUACUUUUUUUUCUUUUGAUUAUUUUUUACUUAUUUACGAUUUUAAAAAAAGGGAGAAGGUGAUACCACUGCGAAUUUUAUUUAUUUUAUUUAGCCCCUCUGCCUUUUAAUGUUUUUGUAAUUAAGUUUUUUUUUUUAAUUUACUCUUUUAUUUAUUUUUAUUUCAAUUUGAUCUAAUUUGAACGGCGUCGUUUAGAGGAGAAGGGAAAAUUGCCCUUCCAGCCCCUCUAUGUAAUUCGAGCGUUCAAUUAAGUCUUCCAAACUUUAUUUAUUUGCGAAUUUACCCCGGAUCUUUACUGGCGAUCCAAUUUAGUCCAUUUUCAUAUUUUCUUUAAAAAUCAAUAUUUUUGAUAAUGCAAUUGUAUUCUUUUAAUUUUUAUUUUAUAAUUCUCAUAUGCAAUUAUUAUUAUUUUUAUAUGUAUAUUUAAGCAUGUAUUUAUGUUUUUUUAUACUAAAAUUUUCGCAUACUUAUAUUUUAUAUACACAUGUUUAAUUUAUUUAAUUAAUUUUAAUAUAUAUUAAUUGUUUAAAACUUAUGAAUUUUUUUUAUGUGUACAGGUAUAUUUUUUUAUUCGCUUAUUAAUUUAUGUUUGCAUAUUUUUAUUAUUAUCUUGCCUAUUUAUUUGAUAUUUUGCACGUCAUUAUUUUGUUUAUUUAUUUGUUUAUUCGUAUUAUUUCUAUGAAAUUGUUGUAUUUAUUAUUGAUAUUUGUUUAAGGGGCAUUCAUUCACAUAUUCAACAUAACAUUACCCUAUCUCUUAUUUAAUUUUAAAAUAAAACACUUCAAAAUAGAGGUAAUACUCGUAUUUAGGAUUUCUCAAGGAAAUUGAGCCCUAACGUAUUGGGUUCCGAUUUUUUUGAAAAUCUAACAAUCGAGGAUUUCUCUUUAAUAAAAAAAUAAGAACUCAUUAUUGGGAAUUCAACACGUUGUGUCCUAACGUAUUGGAUGUGACGCAUUGAUUUCUCGAAAUGAAUAUUUUUUUAAAAAAUAAUAAAGGAAAUAUUCCGAGUUUGGGAUUUUAGAGGAAUUGUGCCCUAACGUAUUGGGCUGCGAUUUCUUAAAUCUUGAAUAAAUGGAUAUUCUUUUACAUUUUUUUAUUGCACUAGUAUUUUGCCCUAAUUCAUUUUUGGGGAAAAUUAGAAUGUCAUGCCCUAACGUAUUGGGUGUGGUAUUUUAUUUCUCUGAAAUGAUAAGGGUCUUAAUACGUAACGUUUUAAGUUUUUGCUAAGGAUUACGAUUUUUAAUUUUUUGACAUUAAGACAUUAAUUAAUUAACUAGGUACCAAUUUUUUGGGCGUAAUGAGGGUGCUAAUCCUUCCUCAUACGUAACCGACUCCCGGACCCGUUUUUCUAAAAUUUGUAGACCAAAGUCAUUUUUAAGUGACCCAAUCACACCUUAAUAAAAGAUUGGUGGCGACUCCCAAUUUUCAUUUUUUAAAGUCGACAACCUAAAAUUUUUGUUUUUUUCAAAAAAAAAUGGUUUCGACAGAAAUAACACAAAAUAGUUGUAUUUUUGUUAUUCUCUCUCGUUUUUGCGUUUUUCUCUUUUGUUUGCUUGUUCUUUGCGUCUGUUUUGCCGUUUGUUGCGCAGUUUCGGCCAGCUGGAGAAGUACGUGGGACGUGUAUGUGCGCGAAGGGUGGUGCGCAGGGCUGCUGUGCGGCGGCUAAGGCUGAAGAUUAGUGAUUCUGUUUUUUUAGUGUUAAGGGAUGCAAACUUGGGCUUUGGGGUUUGUAUUGGGCUAGGGUUAUUUAGGUUAAUUUGGGCCUGUAAUAUUGGGUUGUUUCUUAUAUAUUUUGGUUGUUUUAUAUUUGUAUCGGGCCUGGGUAAAAAUUGGGCCCUACAGUACACUCGCCACAUGGAAGAUAGAAAGUAUACGUCUUAGGUCUUCACAUUUCCACCAACGCGCUUAAGAGUGUCGGAUCCAACUUACAGCCCUUACUUACAAGGGCCACAUGUGAAAAAAUAACUUCUCUCAAGUACGAUUCAAUCAAGGAUGAUGGAGAAGCGGGUAGAUUACGAAUGUUGGAUUGUAAAAUUAGAUCUUCCGCCUAUUCAAGGAAAAAAUAUACAAAAUAUUAAGUUCAAAUAUAACAAAAAAAUAUAAAAAUUAUCCAACAUUAAAAUAUAAUAAGAAAUAUUCUUCCUAUUUGCAAUUGAUCGACAGAAAUGCGGUUCUUAUAAUGACAGAUUAGAGAAUUUGCCAUUAAUAAUUUGGAAAAAGAUCUAAAUAAUUUGUAUUAGAAAAAAUAAUUUAAGAAAAUGUUAAGAUAGUUUAAAUAAAUAAAAUUGAGAGAGCAAAAAAAAAUUAGUGAAUUUAAGUGGGUUUUGUAAGGAAUUUGACAGAUAAUUGAGAAAGUGAGAAAGCUGAGAUUGAAUUGGAAAAAAAUGAAAUGGAGGGGUUGUAGUAAAAAAAUUUGACCGUUUGGGGGGGGGGAAUGUUUAAUUAAAUACCCGUUGGAAAAGUAAUCAUUUUUUGGAUCGUUGGGGGAAAAGUGCUUCCAGUUGGAAGUGUUUUUUAAAAAAUGGCCUAUUUCAAUAAUUUUUAAAAAAAUUGAUUUAUUCAUGUAAAAAAAUUCUAACAUUUAUUGGUAAAUUAGUCCUUUAUGGUAUGUGCGGAAGGAAAAAAACUUAAAAAGUAAUUAUUUUCUUUAUAAAACAUUCAAAAAAAAUAUUUCCUUUAUAAACAUAUUAAAAAAUAUUAAAAAUCAAACCCCAUCCUUAUCAUAAUCUCCUCUAGAAAACUCCAUUCUACCCUGUCAUAAGCUUUACUCAUAUCAAGUUUUACGGCCAUAAAUCUUUUUUCCCUGUUCUCUUCUGUUUUAGCUUAUGCAAUACUUCAUAAGCGAGUAAUACAUUAUCUGAUAUUAACCUGCCUGGCACAAAAGCACUUUGCGCUUCAUCAAUACAUUUGCCAAUAACACUUCGAAAUCUGUUUGCUAUUACCUUCACUAUAAUUUUAUAAAGUACAUUGCAUAAACUAAUUGGCCUAAAUUGCAUCAUAGUUAAUGGGUUGUUGACUUUUGGAAUAAGCACUAUGUUUGUAGAGUUUAUCAAACUAACCUCCAUAUCUCCGUUUAGAAUUUGUAAGCAUAAAGUUAUGACUUCAUCUCUAACAAUCUGCCAGCAUUUCUGAUAAAAUAGUGCUGGAAACCCAUCCUCCCCUGGUGCCUUCGUUGGUCCCAUCUCAAAAACAGCUUCUAUAAUUUCAUCUCUAGAAUAUGAUUCUGUAAGUUUCUGAUUGUCUUCCGCUUGAAUGCAACGCUCAAUCCCUGAUAGAAUAUGAUCAUAAUUCCCUUUUCUUCUUGCCGAAAAUAAAUUCUGAAAAUAAGACUUCGCCACUCCCUCAAUAUCCUGGAUGAACUCCAUUUCUCUUCAUUCUUCAUCUUUCAGCUUAUGAAUGAGGUUCUUUUUUUGCCGUUGUGAAGCUUGACUACGAAAGAAAGCAGUAUUUUUGUCCCCUAAUUUCAACCAGUUGAUUCUAGCUCUCUGUUCCCAGUAGCAUUCAUCUUUCUCAAUCUCAAUCUCAAAAUUCAAAUUUAUUUUUGUAUCAAUCAUUUCGGCUAAGGACUUAUCAUUUCUGUCUGCUCAACUCGCCAAGUUUCUUCGUAAGAAUCUGUUUAGUCUUCUGUCUAUUCUUUUGCAACUGCCCAGCCCAAAUCUGCAAUCCUUUCUUUAAAUUAUCCAGCUUCUUUAACAAUGCCUCUGACAAAUUUUCCCAUAUAUUUCUAACUUUAUCUAUGAAAGAUUCCUCCAAAAUCCACCAGGCUUCGAAUCUGAAAUUGUAAUCCCUUGCUUGUUCUACAAAUCUCCUGGUAUUAAUAAGAAGAGGACAAUGGUCUGAAAAUGAAUGAACCAAAUGUUGAACUUUAAUUUCUGGGAACAUAACAAUCCAAUUUGUAUUAGCUACUCCUCUGUCUAAACGCUCUUGGAUGUUCGUCUCUGGUAAGUUGCCUCUCUCCCAAGUAAAAUGGCUGCCCUCAAAACUCACAUCAUUCAAUCGACAUUCCUCUAAUGUUUUACGAAAAAUUUCCAUCAUUCUUUCGUCCCUAGGUACCCCUCAUUUUUUUUUUCAAAUCCAUACAUAAUUUCAUUGAAGUCUCCACAAACCAACCAAGAGAUUUCUUCGUCAUUUGUUAAACUUUUCAAAACCUCCAACGAAUCAUUCUUAUCUUGUAUGUAUGGGGAACCAUAAAAACCUGUAAAUCUCCAGUUCACUCAUUUUUCCUUAUCUUCAACAAUCACAUCAAUAUGUCUUUUAGAGAAACUACGAAGCACAACUUCAAUGUCAGUUCUCCAUGCUAAGCACAACCCUCCUCUCGAGCCUUCUGAUUCGAUUUUGAUUCCAUUUACAAAACCACACCUCUUGCGUGUAAAUUCCAUCUGUUUCUUACUAAGUUUUGUCUCCAUAAAGAAGACUAUUUGGGGAUUAUUAAUCUUCAGCAGAUGCCGAAGUCUUCUAACCAUCCAUUGUCUCCCCAAACCACGGACGUUCCAACUUAAGAUUUUUAUUGUGCCCGGUCGGCAUGCCUCUAAGCAGUCGCCGAUAUCAAGGAAUGUACACCUUCCAUCUCCCCUCUAUUUCUCUUUUUUCCUUCUUCCCCUAUUAAAGUUUCAUCUUCCAAAUCCUGCUCCAUAGCCAUUUGCAUCUGAUAAUACCAUAUUUUAUUUCUCUGUUGUUCUCCAGGUGACACCCUCCCCUCAAGGUUAAACCCCAAUAUUGGAUCAAUAGAUUUCUCCUUCUUUCCCUUUAGAACCUCAUUUUGUUGGUUAAACCCGUCAAAGCUGUUCUCCAUCCAGCUUCCUUCCAGUUUCCCUUCCCCCUCCUCUUGCAACCCUAAUGCUAUUCAUUGAUAGAGCUCUUCAAGAUGGUGCCCGUAGUGUUAAAUCCCAUCCCAUUCCAGUAACCUCCCCUCCAACCCUCAUUUUUUCUUCACAGAAAGAGUCAUUAUGACCUAAAUGUCCACAGAAAAACAAAACAGCAAUAGACGCUCAUACUUAAAUUUAACAUAUGAACAUGUCCCACUAAACAUAAUCUGCUUCUUCCUUUUGAACGGUUUCCUGAUAUCAAUCUGCACUCUAAUUCUCAUGAAAUUUUGAUUCUCUUUUCCCAAUUUUGACACAUCAUACUCCAUGAAAACUCUAAUAAAAUUACCCAACUGUGUGGCUAGGCUUUCAGUAAAUAAACCUAUUGGGACGUCAUGAAUUUGUACCCAAAAAGGACUGAAAAUUAAUGGCACCUUCAAUGGAUCUUCUCCCCUUCUUAGUUUGCAAAGUAUUAAUAAAUGAUUAUUAAAAGUCCAUGGUAGACCCUUCAAAACUCUUUCCAUAUCCAUGCAGUGGAAAAUUUUAAAAAGGUACCUUUUAUCCCCCAGAUCCCAAAUUUGCACUCCACAGACAGGGUGCCACAAAUUUGCCAUAGUGCUUCUCAUAGCUUGAAAGUGGAUUGAGCUUGUUGUUAAAAAACAACCUACAAGCUUAAAGUCCUCCCCUUCUUUUUGCAUGCUUGGUUCAGUCUGGAUCUAUAGAAUUUCCUCUUAUUCUUCAUUGAGCGAUAGUUGUGCUAAUUCUGUUUCCAUGACUUGCAGGAAUUGAAGAUCAGAAAAUCCUCUCACGUCCUCCUUAUCUCUGAGAAAAAUUGUGUUUAAAGCACUGAUUCCAAGAAAAAACAAAAACAGUUUUUGAAAAAACCUUAAAACUUCAUACCAAAGACGGCAGACAGAAACGUGCUAGGGUAGCAGGCUUAUUUAAUCCCUGUAUUUUAGUUUGGCAUAGUUUUUUGUAGACUGAUAAAGGACUAAUAACUAAUAACUAAUAAUUUUCAUAAUACAUUUUAUUUUUUUAAUUUUUUUAGAUUUUAAAAAACUUUUUUAGAAUAAUUAUUAAGAAAUUACUUAAAAAUAUCAAAAUAACAUUUUAUUUAUAUUUCAAAGACUAAAGGACUAAUAACUAAUUUGGUCUUUGAAAUAUAAAUAAAAUGUUAUUUUGAUAUUUUUAAGUAAUUUCUUAAUAAUUAUUCUAA